rnacentral:misc_RNA from 1 species
GGAGAAUCUGGACACAUCUCUAGUAGAGCAUCACUCUCGCCACCCCCCUGACCGCCCUUCUUGUCCAGUCCUCCUCCACCAACACCACCAUCACUCUCUCUAUCUAUUGCCCAUCAGAUACACAUGGCUUUUCUUGUUACUUCUCAGCCUUCAAUGAAAUCUCACAGCCGCAAACUACAAGUUUCAUACAACACGUCGUUCCAACCCCUUAACACCCUUCACAAUUCCACCUCCGCC